CCCGCAGCUCCCGGGGUUCCCCAGCGGAGGGCCCCGCCGCCCCGCUCCCACCCUGGGGCCUGGUGACCCCAGGAAGGGCCGGAAGAGGAGGACGUCACACGACUGUGCGGCCGAGGUCGCGGGCCUGGUGGUGAAGCUGCGCCGGGCGAGCUCAGCGACUCUGGGAACGCCUCCGUGGAGGAGACCCUCUACUGCGAGGCCUGCGAGCUCCCCUGAGGGUCAGGAGGGCCCGCGUCCCGGAGCGCCUGUCCUCGGGCCGGCACUGCCAGGCUCCCCGGGCGGCUCGGCCUCCGGACCCCGGUUCUCAUGUGAGUGUCACCCCGGCCUGGACGGGACCCGCCAACGCCAGCGCUUCGGGAGAGAUCUGAGCGGGCCGAGGGCCUGUGGUCGCUUUAGGGCUCCCUGCCCUGCCGACGAUCGCUUAUCGCGUGGACAGGCCGCCUGAUGGUGCCUUGGUUUUGCUAAGCUGCUAGUGGCUCGUUAACAGAGGGAUGAAUCCUGUGAGGUCUUGGAAUCGUGUGCUCUGUCCCUGCGCGGUGUCUCUUGUGACCAGCCCUCUUAACGCUUCCUUGGGACGUCCAGGGACAUCCUAGAGUGAGCGCUUCCCCACUCUUAGCGUCGAUGGGAUGAUUCGGGGACGGGGGACACCGAGUCUUGCCAGGCUUUGUCGAGUGAGGGAUCUGUCAUCCUCUGUCUAGUGCCGCAGCCUCGGAGCUUGCUGCAGCUGGCCUUCCCUCCCUCCGAAAUGGCCCAGGUCUGCGUCCUCAGCCUUCGCUCUUCCUCUCAGGCAGCCCCGCCAGCGCCUGCACCAGGGUGCCCUCUGCUCCCGCUGGCCACACGUGUCUGCUGCCAGCCCCUCCCAGUGCUGUCAGCUCUACCACCAGUGACGUGUCUGCCCCAGAGGACCAAAUGCCAUCUGCCUCCACCAGCCACCCUUCAGGAGGCUGCCCCUGCAGCUGUUGGCUGUGAGAGCCGUGGUCCAGGGGUCAGGACACCAGGUCGGGAAGGCUCUCCCACCACGGUCACCUUGACGGCAGGCUGGUGACAGGCCCCUGGGAUGCUGUGGAAGUGACUGUUUUCUCCAUGGAGCUGCCUUUCUACUUUUGUCAAAACCCAUCUCUCUUCCUCUCCUUUGAACACUGCUGUUUCGCCAGUACCACUCUGUCCUGAUUACUACAGCUGUUAGGAGGGGCUCUGGGUGACAGCUGCCAGGCCUAGGAGUGGUCUGUGGUCAUAGAGAAGAACAAGAUUGGGAUUUUCUGUCUGUGACCUGCUCUCCAUGCCGUGACCUCUCAGUGUCCUCACAGUUUCCGGGGAAGGGCGUGCUCUGCGAGCGGCUGCCCAGUUGGAACACAGACUGCUGAGUCCUGCUCUGGUGAAGCCGACAGGUGCGGAAAGCCUUUGGUCUGGAGUUUACGAGUAAAAGCAGCCUCUUGGCAAUUUUCAAAGAAUUUUUAAAUAAAAUCAUGUGAACUACUCAGAGUACCUUUUUUAAGCAGCUAACCUGCAAUCUCUAAAUGAGAUUCUCAUUUCCAGAGGUGAGAGAGGGAUAUUAUCAGCUUUUUUCAUUUGAUUAUUUGUUCUAAAGAGAUGGGUAGCAGUUGGGUGUCGUGCGGGAAGAAUGCAGACUUUGGAAGGAAUCCAGCCGGGUUCUCGGUGAUGGCUCUGCCGAUUGCCAAUGUGUGACUUUGGGAAUGUGGAUAGCCUCUUGGGGCCUGUUUUGGCUUCUGUAAAAUGCAGAUGGUCUGGAUCACAUUAUUGCUAUGACCGGAGUUUAUUGAAUGGCUCCUGGUUGCCAGGAACCGUGCUGGGUGUUGAAUGUUACUGGGGAAUAAAACAGACUGGCUUUUGCCCUCGUGGGCUCAGGGUCUGGAGCAAGGGACAGCUGCUAAACAAGUAAACAGCCAUGUGUGUGAUUACAAAACUGCACAAUGUUUGAAGCGUCAGCAUAUAAAAAAGGUAGGACUGAGAUUCAAGUAAAGCAUCCAGUAUGCUGCCCGCUGCCCCCCUUAUGCCCAGUGAACGGUCACCAUUGUGGGCCUCAGAAUUUACAUGUGUUGAAAGGGUUCUGAGGGACGUGGCCCAGAAGAGACUCUGGCGGCGAACUUGGCCUUGGGAGCUCGGCUGGCCAGAUGUGCCUCUCAGGUGAGCGGGCUUGGGGGCGGACUUGCCCUGUUCUGUUUCUUCUCUUCCAGGCGCUUUGACCCGGCUCUCCAGUUCUUACACAAGGAGGUCCGGGGGCUGUGCCCUGGGACGGGUGUGGCCAGUCACUGCUGUCAGCAUCUGUGCCCAGCAGCUUCUCUGGGUCUCCAGAGGAAUCCAGGCGGGGAAUCCCCGAGCGGAGGCCCACUUGCCUCCCUUCUGGCCAGAGAACCCUGCUCAUGCUCCCGGCCAGAUGCCAGCGUUUGCUCCCCUCUGUGUCCAGGUCAGGUUUUCUGUGGCGCUGCCCUGCACGACGUGGGUGUCGCUAGUGUGCUGCUGGGAGAACCCGCCCCAGAUGUGUUAUUUGCCUUGGGGGGUGCGCUCUGCCCUCUGCCCAGGUGAGGGCGUGGCUCUCCUUUCAAGGCUCUCCUACCCCCACCGAGGCUGAAAAUGCAGCACGGGCUGGAGACCCUGUGCAGGGUCCGGCCCGUUCCCCACCCCCUUAGUUUUAGGAGCAAGUAAAAUAACAUAGGACAUGUAUAAAAAAGAUGUAUAAAUGGUCACAUUCAAGUCAGAUAACGUCACUGAAUUCCUCAACUUUCUCUCAGUUAAAAGGCAUCAUGCAAGAAGCAUUUCAUAUUUGGUGAACUUUGAGAUUCAUUAUUUUAGUAAAUGUUUCUCUAGCACCUCCCAUGCGACAGGCCCUUUGUAGUCUCUGAGGUUGCAGAGAUGAAUGAGAUGCAGUCCCUGUCCUGGAGGAAGUCACAGCCAGGUCCGGCACGCACAGAUUAGCAGGUCAUUUCUCAGCACCCUGGGAAGGUCAGGGCGGGAUGGGUGGUUCCCAGGCCCUGGCCUGGCAGAUGAGGCCUGGGUGAGUCUAAGGGCGGAGGAAAUGGAUGGGUUAUUUGUUGCCAGCGAUACACUGCUCACACUUAACAGCUUGAAAUGACAGCCACCUAGGAUUUCAGGAUUCUGCAGACUGGGCUGGGCGAGGUCCUUGUGGUCUUGUUGGUGGUCAUCACGUGGCUACAGUCUGCUGGUUGGUGGCUGGCCUGGAACAGCUCAACCAGGAUCACAGGGCCGGGUCUUGCUGUCACCUGAGUUCUCUUCUGUGUGGUCUUAGGGUCCAUCCUCCACCAUAUAGCCCCUCUGCAGGCCUCCCCUACAGGUUGGCCACACAUCUCAGGGCCCCAGGAGCGCAAAAGCAGGAGCCCCUGGGCCUCUCGAGGCUUGGGCCCAGAACUAGCGCAGCGCCGUCUCUGCUGCAGGCUGUGGGUUGGGCAGGUCCCAGGCCACUGUGGGUUCGAGGGAAGGGCCUGCUCAGGAGUGAGAACCACGAGGCAUGGGUCACUGGGGGCCUCCAGUGCAGCAGAUGUGCCCAGAAAGAGCUGGUUAGACCUUGGGAAGAAUGGUGGAGGGCUAGGAGAGGGCAGCCGGGCAGAAAGAAGGAUCUGGACCCAGGACCGAAGCAGGAGACAGCAGGGUGCCCUGGGGGACCAUGGACACCUGUGUCACCCUGAGUGACAUGAGAUGGGGUGAAGAGGGGAGGACCAGACAGGGCACCAUGUGAUUGUACUUAAGCAGGAGUGGCAAAGUCUUGGCCUCUAGAGCCCUCACUGGAAAAAUACUCGGUAGGUGACAUCCCAAGUCUUGGGCAGUGAGUGGUGUGUGGGGCAAGGAGUGAAAGUGGACGCCAGCUUCUCACUGGCUGACUGGUGCAGGGAAGCUGCAUGUGGGAGGUCAGAGCCCCAGCAGAAGGGUGAGUCUGGGGCGCCCGGCAGGGGAGGUGGCCAUGUGGAGGGCACUGCUCUCUGUCUCAGAAAGAAACCCCUCUCCUGACUGGGCCCCUCCUGAACUCCAGCUGCCUGUCUCCUGUCCUCGUAGCAGAGCCUCCCGAGCCGUCCGCUCUCCGGGUCUUCCACCCCUCCUUCCCUUCUCCCUGGAAUCUGCUCCAUGGGAGCUGCUUCUGCAGAACCCCGCUGACCCCUUAUGGGUCCAAGCCUGUCCCCCUCCUUGGCAUCAGUCACAGCUCUGCGAGCCUGGUCCCUUUCUCCUUCCUGGAAAGACACUACAAGAGCACGUGUCCUCUAGCUUCCUCCCGUCUUUCUGGACACUGUUCCAUCUCAUUUCCCCCUACUCAGAUCUCCACUCGGAAGACGGAUUAGCCCAUGCUGAGUCCUGGGUGAUGCCCCCACACUCAGUCUUCCCCUUCAGCUACUGCUGCUGACCAUCCCAUUUCCACAUCCUGGCCAGAGCUUUCCCCUGAGCCCCAGCCCCACAUUCUAGCUGCCCAGCUGGUCCUUAACGUGCUCAAAGCAGAGCUCCUUCUUGCCUGUCCUGGUACAUGGCCCGCCCUCCUGCGUUGCUCGAGCCACAGCCUGUUGCCACCUUUGGCUCCUCUCAUUUCUCCACUUCACAUCCCAUCCAUCGGCAGCUUGUGUUGACACUACCUUUGGCUUCCACAGGGAGUUCAUCCUCCUACCCCUGCCUUCUGGGCACCCACCCUGGUCCUGGCCACAGCCUCUUACUGGUCCCGCUGCGGCUGUCUCCCCGCACAGUGGCCGUGAAAGUCACACCAGGUCCGUGUCUGUUCCAAACCCUCCAGGGGGUCUCCUCUCACUCCCGGUAGAAGGUGCCACCUCCUUGCUGACUCACCAGGCCCUAUAGCAGUGACCCGCCCCCCGCCAUGGCCAUUCUUGGUGUUCUCAGGGCACCAGGCAGGCCCCUCCUUGGGGCUUGCAUGCGUCAUCCCCGGCUUCUCCAUCCCUGCAGGUUUUCCUUUGGCCAUCGCCCCAGGACCUCUCCUCUGGCCUCGAUUUACUGUUCCACCCCACCCUGACCAUGUUUUUAAAGAAAAUUUGCAUGCCUUUUUUAGGUAUCCAAAGUUUUGCAGUUUGCCUGAAUUAACUUCUGUAGUAACUAAUGUCCUUCUACCUGGAUAUGGCCUCCUUAAAAGAUGCAGACACUGUUGUGAUCAGCAUGAAAUUUCCUAGCAGGGCUGUUGUCAGCAUGGCCAUCAGCCAGCCCUGCACAAAGAGCUGUGAUCAGAUGGGAGGCCGCACCCCCUGCCCCAGCCAGGGUCAGUCAUGAAGAAGGGAGUCUCCUUCUGACUGGUCGGACUCCUUGUCUGACCUGGCCGUGCCUGUUGGGAGUGCGCAGGAGGAGCAGCGCUCCGGCAGCCCCACUCUGGACUGGUGCUUAGUGAAUGUUGGUCUUCAUUUGUAAAAAGUAAUUUUAGUCUUGUGUGGUGAGAGCCAAAUUUUCCGUACUUUGAUGACUGAGGUUCAGUCUUUGGUUCCAAUAAUGCUUCAAGGAAUUGUCUUCCCAAAGGUGGUUUUCCUUUACUUUGGUGAUUAUUUCAAAGAUACCCGUGGUCCUUUGGUCGUUCCAUGUAAAGCUUGCAUCACAGUGCGCCAUAGAGUAGGAUCGAAACACUCCUGGAAAAUAGGGUGUCAUGUGCCCCCUGCCCCCAAUUACAAGUUAUCGCCACAUAGACUGGCCAUUUCUGAUCACGCGCACUUUCCAGUCCUGUCUGAUGGCUGCCCUAGGUACGUGGUUCUCAAGGCACCUUACGGAUGGAUAGCCACACUCCCCUGGGCAGCUCCAGCUGGGGCACAGCCCUCUCCCUGGACUCCCCGACCCAGGCUGGGCACUACCAGAGGGCGUACCAAGGGCUCUUCAGACACUUUCUCAGAGGCCUUAAAGGUAGCGAACUCUGAGGAAGAACUUUGACACACUGACUUUCAGCGAGACUGUUUCCUGUCCGCUUACAGCCGGCGCAGUGGCUGUGCCGUUUUCAAAGCUCAGGUCGGUUCCGCAUGUCCACUCAGUGUCGGAGUUGUUUGUCUGAGUGAUCGUUUGUAUUGCAUGUGUUUUAGAUACAGUCUGACGGGGCCCCGUUAGGUUGUGCAGAUAUGCGUGCUGCCUGCAGUCUUGUAGGAAUGCCUUUUAGCUCUGAAGCAUGCAAAGUGACAGUUACUUCCAAAUUCCUGGGAUCUGCUGAAUUUCAUGGGUCCUUGAAGAAUGUGCCUGGAAGGGCAGCAUAGAUGACAGGAGGGUGGGCAGGAGUCUUGGUAGGGGUUGGGCGCAUCAGAUAGAGGCAGUGGGCCUCCCCCAGUGAUCCCUUCGGGGCCCAUCCUGGAGGCCCAAGGCCUUUCCACAUCCCCAACCAGAAGUUGAAUGUCUUUGGCUCUGGUUGGUUUCUUGGUUUUCGCCCUGAAUCUGUGCAAACACACUCCGUGUCUGGGGAAAGAACCUGCUGCAGUCACCAAAGAGUAGCUGCUUGGGGCCCUUCCGGGGGCCACUGCUGCAGAGCAGUCCUGGCGGAACUGCUCCACCAUGGACCUGCGACAUGGAGCAGUCGAGGCCUCUGUGGUCAGGACAGAAACACCAUGAGCCGCAGCACUCAUGGAACCCGGGACCUGCCUGAGGUCUGACGGCCUGUCCACUUGUGCCCGUCACGGAGACAGAUAGAGCCUCCCGUGGCAUUGUCCUCUCCGGAGACUGAGAAGGGAGCCUUUGAAAGCCGAGUGAGUCUCAUUCCUGGUGUAUUGGGGUUGUUGAGGACGUGACAUCAGAGCCAGGGGACAGGUUGGGCUGCUUCUCUGUUUGGAGCUCGGGCCUGGUGAGUGAGGGCUGCCCUCCUGGUCAGAGGCUCCUCAGCAGAACGCAGGUCGGGAACUCGACCGUGUGAACUGACCCAGAAGCUGCAGUUGCGCUCUGAGCGUCUGCUUUUCCGUGUGGUGAGCAGAGCUGAAGGCUGUUCAGGGUGUUAGCCUAAACGGUGCCUGCACGAAGCAGCCUGCCCAGUUUGUUGGGCCUUUUGGGGCAGUUAUAGCAGUGUUUCAAAGUGAAACAGUUUUCUUGAAGAGUCUGAGUUUGUGCACAGUAAUAUUAUGCAGCACCGUUCCUGAGAAACAGGAUAAAGUACUGCGUAUGAUAUUAAACACCGUUGUUCUUUUCUUGCCUCAAUACAGACUUUCUCUCUGGAUGUCGGUAGGGAAACGCUCCAAUACUUUGUGUCCCGCAGGGGCAUGGGAAACGUCUCAGCAAUAGCCUGCUCUUCUCUUCUGAGCAGUUACAUUCCAAGAAACAUAGUGCCUUGCAAAGUGGCAGAUCUGCUUUGAACCAGAAUGGCUUGAUGAGCAAUGUAUAGGUCUGUGCCAGGGAUCCAAACCCACAAACCCUGGGCUGCCAAAGUGGAACAUGUGAACUUAACCACUAUGCUACCGGGCUGGCCUUCAUGUUAUCUUUCUAAAAUUACACGUCAAAUUUAUUGGACAUGUUUUUAUGUAUUUGAAAAUAAUUGUAUUGUACUCUACUUUAAAAACAAAAACUUUUUUAACAAAGAUAUUAAAAUUGCGCUCGUGCUGAGACCACUAGAUUAUUGUGUUCGUUCCUCCGAGGGCGUUCAAAGUCCCUGUUUCUGUGGUGUGCGCGGCAGUCUCUCUAGUUAAACAUCCCGAGUCUUUGUGUCCCGUCCUGUUUCUGAGGGUCGGCGUGUUUGUGAUUCAGAUUCCUGUCCCUGUGAUAGGGUGGCGGCACCUCUCGCUCAGCUCUCCCCCGUGGGCCCUGGGGAAAGGGAUGAGCGGGUUUGGUGUGAAGGAGUGUGGGUGAGUAGCCCGGCCAGGGAGGCAGCCCCUCCCCGCCACCCGUGCUGGCUCGCCGCCCAGCCGAGCUCUCCCCGCUCAGCCGAGCUCUCCCCGCUUGGCGAGUGCUGGGGGGCGUGGGCUCCCUGGUCCGUUCUGCCCCCUGCUCUGUUCUGCUUCGUUUCAGCCCAGUGGCUCAGGCCUUGCUCAAGGUUGCAUGGAUUUCGAGAGCCCAGUUGUGCUGUGGCAGGUCCCCAGUGCCUUACUCACAGUUCUGAAAUCCAGGAAUCUGAGAAGUGGGGGAGCCGAAAGGAAGCGCAGGUGGCCUAGAGCCUGAGUGGAGCCAACUUGAGCUCCCAGCCAUCUUUUGUUUUGCUAAGUUUUGCAGAGAAAUGUGAACACACCGGACUCCAGACAGCAAGGAGGGUGUUCAUGACCUACACAGACGCCCUGUAUGACCUUUCUGAAGUUGAGACCCCCAGGCCUCAGGGGAUUGGAUGAGGGGUCAUGGCCUGCACUUCAGGAGGCCUGAGGUGGCCAGGCUGAGGCCGAGGUCAGUCCUGGGAGGUUAGCAGGCUCUGCCCGGACAGAACCGCCCGUCUGUCUGCCCGCAGGUUGUUCCUGUGACUUGAGUCAGGGCUGAGCACGCGGCUCCGAGGCGCAGGGGAGAGGGCACCCCGCGGGCUCCUCACGCCCCCCGAACACUCGAGAGGAGCGCAGGCCAGGCCGUGGGUUCCCUCGCCUAUAAGGAGCCGUCUCUCCGUCUGUGCUGUUGUCGAAUGUGACGUAUUUAUGAGACAGUCAUUGGAACAUGUGCUUUAUUAUGUUACAAAGACAAAAAUUCCCACCAAAACACAGCUAAAAAAAUAACACAUUUUCCCAAGAUUACAUUACCAAAAACAGUUAGCAUCAUUGGAAUAUAUCCAUUAAUACUGCUUGAAGAAGCAUUAUAUUACAUUAAAAACAUGGGUGGUAGGUAUUUUUUCUCCAACCUUAAAGCAUUAAAGUGCUUUAACUGACCAUGACAGAAGUGGAUGUUUGUGGGUGAAACGCUGAUCUGUUCGCAG
ensembl:lncRNA